CAGGGAUUGCCCUAGUAACGGCGAGUGAAGCGGCAACAGCUCAAAUUUGAAAUCUGGCUCUCGGGCCCGAGUUGUAAUUUGUAGAGGAUACUUUUGAUGCGGUGCCAUUCCGAGUUCCUGGAACGGGACGCCAUAGAGGGUGAGAGCCCCGUCUGGUUGGAUGCCAAAUCUCUGUAAAGUUCCUUCAACGAGUCGAGUAGUUUGGGAAUGCUGCUCUAAAUGGGAGGUAUAUGUCUUCUAAAGCUAAAUACCGGCCAGAGACCGAUAGCGCACAAGUAGAGUGAUCGAAAGAUGAAAAGCACUUUGAAAAGAGAGUUAAAAAGUACGUGAAAUUGUUGAAAGGGAAGCGUUUAUGACCAGACUUGGGCUUGGUUAAUCAUCUGGGGUUCUCCCCAGUGCACUUUUCCAGUCCAGGCCAGCAUCAGUUUUCCCCGGGGGAUAAAGGCGGCGGGAAUGUGGCUCUCUUCGGGGAGUGUUAUAGCCCGUCGUGUAAUACCCUGGGGGGGACUGAGGUUCGCGCAUCUGCAAGGAUGCUGGCGUAAUGGUCAUCAACGACCCGUCUUGAAACACGGACCAAGGAGUCGUCUUCGUAUGCGAGUGUUCGGGUGUCAAACCCCUACGCGUAAUGAAAGUGAACGCAGGUGAGAGCUUCGGCGCAUCAUCGACCGAUCCUGAUGUUCUCGGAUGGAUUUGAGUAAGAGCAUACGGGGCCGGACCCGAAAGAAGGUGAACUAUGCCUGUAUAGGGUGAAGCCAGAGGAAACUCUGGUGGAGGCUCGCAGCGGUUCUGACGUGCAAAUCGAUCGUCAAAUAUGGGCAUGGGGGCGAAAGACUAAUCG
rnacentral:rRNA from 1 species